rnacentral:lncRNA from 8 species
AUGGCUCACCUCUCACAGUUCUGGGUGACUUUAACCUCCCCACGUCUACCUUUGACUCAUUCCUCUCUGCCUCCUUCUUUCCACUCCUCUCCUCUUUUGACCUCACCCUCUCACCUCCCCCCUACUCACAAAGCAGGCAAUACGCUUGACCUCAUCUUUACUAGAUGCUGUUCUUCCACUAAUCUCAUUGCAACUCCCCUCCAAGUCUCCGACCACUACCUUGUAUCCAUUUCCCUCUCGCUCUCAUCCAACACUUCUCACUCUGCCCCUACUCGGAUGGUAUUGCGCCGUAGCAACCUUCGCUCUCUCUCUCCCGCUACUCUCUCCUCUUCCAUCCUAUCAUCUCUUCCCUCUGCUCAAACCUUCUCCAAACUAUCUCCUGAUUCUGCCUCCUCAACCCUCCUCUCCUCCCUUUCUGCAUCCUUUGACUCUCUAUGUCCCCUAUCCUCCAGGCCGGCUCGGUCCUCCCCUGCUCCGUGGCUUGACGACUCAUUGCGAGCUCACAGAACAGGGCUCCGGGCAGCCGAGCGGAAAUGCAGGAAAACUCGCCUCCCUGCGGACCUGGCAUCCUUUCACUCCCUCCGUUCGACAUUUUCCUCUUCUGUCUCUGCUGCUAAAGCCACUUUCUACUGNNNNNNNNNNNNNNNNNNNNAGAGAGAGAGAGAUACAGUAUUUAAACAUGAUUCUGUGUCUGUGGAUGGAGGCCAGCUCCUACGGCCUAGAGAGAGAGAUACAGUAUUUAAACAUGAUUCUGUAUCUGUGGAUGGAGGCCAGCUCCUACGGCCCAGAGAGAGAGAUACAGUAUUUAAACAUGAUUCUGUAUCUGUGGAUGGAGGCCAGCUCCUACGGCCCAGAGAGAGAGAGAUACAGUAUUUAAACAUGAUUCUGUGUCUGUGGAUGGAGGCCAGCUCCUACGGCCCAGAGAGAGAGAUACAGUAUUUAAACAUGACGCUGUAUCUGUGGAUGGAGGCCAGCUCCUACGGCCCAGAGAGAGAGAGAUACAGUAUUUAA